rnacentral:rRNA from 1 species
UACAGAGGUCUCAAGCGUUGUUCGGAUUCAUUGGGCGUAAAGGGCGCGUAGGCGGCGCGGUAAGUCGGGUGUGAAAUCUCGGGGCUUAACUCCGAAACUGCAUUCGAUACUGCCGUGCUUGAGGACUGGAGAGGAGACUGGAAUUUACGGUGUAGCGGUGAAAUGCGUAGAUAUCGUAAGGAAGACCAGUGGCGAAGGCGGGUCUCUGGACAGUUCCUGACGCUGAGGCACGAAGGUCAGGGGAGCAAACGGG